rnacentral:lncRNA from 1 species
CCCAAUCACCACAACAGCCGCGAAAGCCGCCGCACCUCUCCUUCCUCCCUCCUUCCUCCUCGUCGUCAGAGCCGCCGCACCUCUCCUUCCUCCCUCCUUCCUCCUCGUCGUCAGAGCCGCCGCACCUCUCCUUCCUCCUCUCCACACCCCUGCCACAGCGCACAUCCCUCCGAUCAUCAAGCCCAACUCCCCUUCCCAUUUCUCCUCCUCCCAGAACCACAUCCCGUCGCUUAGGCUCCAUGGUGGCGGCCUGCUCGAGGUGAGCCUGGUGCAGGCGGGCAGAAGCAGUGGGGCGGCGGAUGCCGGUGGGAGAGUGCUGGACAGGUCCGUCAUUGUCUCCCCACUAAGACGCAUGGAAGAAGGACCAGGAUCUCACCCUCAUCCCUUCUGGAUGCACCUCCCCACGUGAGUUCCUCCUACCUAAUUCAGCUCCCAUUUACAUAUAAUUUCAUUCUUGUUUCACAUGUUGGUUUGGUUGGAAAGAGAUGUUGCGCCACCGACUGCAGUAGCCAGGGUUGGCGUUGGUGAUGUCUAUAGGUAUUUUCGUCCUCGCCGGUCACAAAAUUCCUUAGGUU